rnacentral:rRNA from 1 species
ACAAGGAUUCCCCUAGUAACGGCGAGUGAAGCGGGAAAAGCCCACCAUGAAAAUCCAUUUGGAAUUGUAGUCUGUAGAAGCACAACCAGCUGUUUGGCUCGGUUCGAGUCCCUUGGAAUAGGGCAUCCAUAGAGGGUGAGAGUCCCAUUCGUGGCCGAGAUGUUGAGCAGCGCACGGUUUGUUUUCGAAGAGUCGAGUUGCUUGGGACUGCAGCUCCAAGUUGGUGGUAAAUUCCAUCAAAGGCUAAAUACUGGCGAGAGACCGAUAGCGAACAAGUAGUGUGAACGAAAGAUGAAAAGAACUUUGAAAAGAGAGUUAAAGAGUACCUGAAAUCGUUGAAAGGGAAGUGACGGCUACCAGUGUUUUUGCGGGAUGUUUAUCUAGCCGCCAGGUUGAGUGUGCAUCUCGUGGAAAGUCUGCGUGGGUUGCCUUUAUGCGGCGAGAGGCAUGUCUUGCGACCCUUGUGGUGCUUGGCGUGUACCAGCCGUGUGGCGACUGAGGAGCAUUGCUUGUUGACUUUUUCGGAAGAUCUGAAGCAAAAGGACGCAGACGAAAUGGUAGUCAUCAGCCCGUCUGGAACACGGACCAAGGAGUCUG